rnacentral:rRNA from 1 species
GGGUCCGCACAAGCGGUGGAGCAUGUGGUUUAAUUCGAUGAUACGCGAGGAACCUUACCAGGGCUUAAAUGUAAGUUGCAUAAGCUAGAGAUAGCUUUUUUCUUCGGACUACUUACAAGGUGCUGCAUGGUUGUCGUCAGCUCGUGCCGUGAGGUGUCAGGUUAAGUCCUAUAACGAGCGCAACCCCUGUUGUUAGUUGCCAUCGAGUAAUGUCGGGAACUCUAACAAGACUGCCGGUGCAAACCGUGAGGAAGGUGGGGAUGACGUCAAAUCAUCACGGCCCUUACGUCCUGGCUACACACGUGCUACAAUGGCCGGUACAGAGAGCAGCCACUACGCGAGUAGGAGCGAA